UGCGCCAUAUGCCCACAGCUCC
rnacentral:siRNA from 1 species